rnacentral:tRNA from 1 species
GCCCUCGUAGCUCAGUGGAUAGAGCGACCGCCUCCUAAGCGGUCGCAGGUCGCAAGGUUCGAUUCCUGCCUUGGGCGCCA